GGGUGAGGGUGAGUAAUUACCAGGAGCAUACAUGCUGCCCCAGAGGCUGGCAGCCUGUGUUACGGUCAAUUAGCUACCAGACACAAUCAUCUAGGUUGUUAAUUAUUACUGGGGUGUUGAAGCCAUGAAACCCAGAGGCAGAGAACAAGUGAGGGUAUCUGUCACUGGGUCUCAGGCAGAAAACCCAGAGAAUUGGGUUCCCCAGGGGCCACUGUCCCAUGUCAGGCAGCUGGAGAGGUUCCAGGUCCUCUCUUCACAGGUCUCAGUCCCAAGAUGAGGAUGAACUAAACCAAUUCAGUUUAUCCAUGAUGUACAAGCAGCAGGCGGGCUCCGGCGCUAGAAAACACAGGCAGAAAUCUCCAUGCUCUUCAAGAAAGCAGCAUGCAUGAAGAGGAAAGAGCGGGCACGGGAAAAGCUGUAAGAUGGGCCUGGCCACGGGACAGGAAAUCCGGUCCUGACUGGUGCUAUACCGUGUGACCACAUGGGGCAUGGGGAAGGAGACAGCAUUACAGGCGCACCUUAAGGACAAAGGCAAGGACAUUCCGGGAAAGAGGGAGAGAAACAGCACAAUGCGUGUCCUUCCGACAUCGCAGUGGACCGUGUAAAGGGCAGAGCUGUGGAAGGCAAACCGCACUGAAGCCACCUGGCUCCAUGGACUCCACCUGGCUGUGAAAGCCAAGGCUCCGCCACUCACCCUGGGGUGAGUUCUUGGUCUGCCUUGGACAGUCUCCUGGUCUAUAAGGAGGCAGAAGUCCUUAUCCCCUGUUUGCUUCUGAAGAUGGACUGGGAUUGUGCAGAUGCCCAGCGGGGGCAGCUCAAGCCCAGACUGGACUCUGCCCUACGGAUGAGAAAUGACACCUAAACAUAAUGGAAUUUAUCCAGGGUCAGGAGCUGCCGAGUGGCAGAGUGAGAAUUGGAGCGGAUGCCCGUCUGACUCCAAAGUUCACCCUGAGGAGAGUGGGCAGCACAGGACCUCUUUGAGGAGAAAUGAGUGCAAUGCUUUUGGAGGAAAUGCGGUCCAGGGGCGGGUGGGCUUCCUCUCACUAACGAGUUUGUCCAGGAUGAUGCUCGGCAUAGGCUUCAAGCUUUCCGCCCUCCGUUUCCUGCCUCUGUGCCGUCGCCUGGCUCCUGCAUCUCUGCCUCAUCGCUCUGAUAUCCGCCGCUCAGGUUCUUGCCAGCACUGGGGCCACCUUGUCACUGCGCCUGAAGCCAAGCUCUGCUGUCUGGUGUGUUCAGAUGCAGCUGAGGUACAGCAGGGACCUGGCCUGAGCUCACCUCUCACAGCGGCCCAGCACAGGGGAACAGGACAGGAUCCAGACCCCCACCUGCUCCGUCUUCCCUGGUCCUCCAGCCCCGCCUGCCUCAGGGGGCGGAAGUGUAGCUGCGGAGUUUCCUCAGUCUGACUUAUAGCUAUGGAUGGUUCUCCUUCCUUCCUUUCCGCUCCUCACGUCCUGGCUCAUCAGGAGAUAAUGUGGUCACUGAGUGCUGACCACCAGGCCAUGUGACCUGGGAGGAGUGUUUCAAGCCUGGCCUCAACUUUCUCCGAUGCUUACCAGUCACAUCACCUAGGCGCAGUGUCACUCAAUCUCUUAGACCCGCUUCUUCCUCUAUUAAGCGGUGCUAUGGUGGGACUUUAGAAAAUAUGAUAUCUUUGCAACUCUAAUCCAACAUCAACCAUUUCUCAUGAUGCAAUCUAGUCCUAUCUGCCCAACCGACCUCACAUGGAAUUGUGAGGAGUACAGCAAACAGGAGGCAUGAGAGAUUGCUCCGAGAGCUUCCUGUAUCCCACACAGAUAGGGCUGACUUCACCCCUUCUCAGAGUUCUUAGAAUUUAAAGUAGGCUCGUGAUACCUCCGAGAAGACAAUCCUUGCUGGUAGCACUUCAAAUAGAUGGAAACACCCAUAUUCCUCGUGCAGUAGGCUGGAUAGUAACCGCCCAAAUAUGUUGGUUUCCCAAUCCACAGUGUAUGAGAGCUACCUUUUAUGGCGGGGGGCCUGUCCCUUGUGGGGUUGUGCUGGAUCAUCUGGGUGCAGCACUAAGAUUGGGAGCCCUUGGGAGAGGAGCACGCAGGAGUCAGAGACAGGGAGAUGGGAGCCGGGGCUGGCGGGUUGGGAGGGACGCACUUCAGAGAUCAAGGAAGGAUCCACGCACCAAAGAGUACACAGAGCCGUGCGAUGUAGAGAAGGGAAGAGAAAUCGGUACUCCAGAACCUCAGGAUCAGGAGGGAAGCAACCACACAGCACAGGGACGCUGGCGCUGGCCUCUAGAAUCGUGAGAGAAAGGACAUGCAGCGUGUGAAGGCGUCGCAUUUACAGUGCCCGCCCUGGUGAUCACACUCUAGGGCAGUAGCCAUGAUAAACGCCUCAGAAGUGUGCAAGGAGGUACCCAGCUUGGUGCGCACAGCAGCCCCGGGCACAGCAGCAGGAAGGGAAGAGCUCAGAAGUCCACCGAGGAGAGAGUGACUAUGUGAACGCUGCUGAGCACGGUCAGAGGGUGGGAACGACAACGUUAUGUGGGACUCUGGCGAAUCUCGGCAGCGUACUUUUGUGUUUGCCGACUUUAAUCUCAUUUAUAUGGAAACCGUCUCAAAUUUACAGAAAAGCUGUGAGUAUCGUCCAAAUACCUUUAUUUUCCACCUGAUUCAAGUUGGCAAUCUGCUCUCUUAUCACCCACGGAUACUUCAGGGCCCAAUUUCCACAUACAAGAGCAUUUUCUUACAUGAUUCUAAUGCAACCAUCAAUGUCAGAAAAUUACAUUAACAUUUAACUACUUUGCACCCCCAAACCUCAUGUAAGGUUUGUUUUUGUUUUGUUUUUUGGUACUGGGGAUACAAUCGGGUCCUUGCUCUUGCAAAGCUAAAUCCCCAGCCCUCUCAUGUAAGUUUCAUCAGUUGUGUCAAAAUACCUUUCGGGGCAGAAAGGUCUACUCGAGAAUCAGACUCGGUGUUUGCUUGGCAUAUCUUUUUAGUCUUCCUCGUUGGCAACCAUUCUUUGCCUUUCCUUUGACUUUGUGUGCCUUCUGCAUAGCUGGAGAAGACUGCUGGAGAUUCAUCGGGCGUCCCUCGGUAACAACGUGUCUGAUGGUUGUUUCUCUGUGUCAAGCACAGCCCAGAAGCCAUGCUCUGUUCUUCCCUCUGCAUCCUAUUGAGCACCUGAUUGUGUUUGUCCCAGAGCUGAUGAGAUCCACUUUGAUCACUGAUUAAAAUGGUGGCAGCCUGUCUCCUGCACUGACAAGUUACCCUUUCUCCCCUUAGCAACAUCAUCUAAGUAAAAAUAGCACAUCCAGAGACUAGAAACAGUAUGUCAUCCUUUCCCAAAGUUAAACCUCACUAAAGUGUUUAAAUGUUUAUGAGAAAGGCACACAGAUGAGCCAGAACCUGCAAUGGGAAGGAAAGGCGAGGUGAAUACAGACUUGGCGCUGGGUGGUGGGAAGGGCGCCUGGGACCCUGGUGUUUGUGUGGGUAAUGAGCUCGGGGACGUUCGUGCUGUGCUGCUAAAAACAGUGAAAAAAGGGCAAGACGGCCAGGCUUAGACCAGGGAUGAGAUUGGGUCAAGAACUGUGGAUGGUGCCAAAUCAGAUCUAGGGACUACAGGGCCACUUUUAAAACAGUACUAGGCAGGUGGUGGAAGGUACAAGGCUGAAGAACAGAGGGGAGGAAUCCCAAGGCUUCUCUUGUCAUCAAAGCCCCAGUCCUGCCCCAGCCACACGACAUGUGCUGAGGCGAAGGGAGCCGUACUCCACUACCUUCCACUCCCUCGGGCCUGACUGACGGACUGGAACCAGGAGCAGAAGACUGUUCUGAUCCAGGAGAGCUCUUAGAGCCUACAACAUUUGGAUAGUAAAAUAUAGGGACACUCAUCUCCUUCCUGGAGCAAUUUUGCAUCCCCACAACAUUUGUAUUUUUUCCAACCUCAUUUCCCUUCUACAGCAGUAUGGGAGAGCUGAGGAGGCAGCUAGGUGACGCAGCGCUUGCCAGUCACUUGCUCAGUCCCCAGCACUGCAAAACAAAACAAAGCAAAACCCACACCAGAAUGGCCAGGCACCCUGGCACAUACCUAUAAUCCCCGUUCUCCAGGAGGCUGAGGCAGGAGGAUUGCAACUUUGAACCCAGCAUGGUCAAUUAAGUGACUUGGUGAGACCCUAUCUCAAUAAAUAAGUAAAUAAAUAAAUAGGAGGGCUACAGAUGCAAAUCAGUGCAAAGGCUCUGGAUGGAAGCCAACAUCCACAACAAAGCUCAGGCGUAGGUAUCUCCGUGCUUCUUCCCCUUCCAGUCCCGGUCCUCACACUUGUGGGUUUGGCACUGCCCACAUGGGCCUGUCUGGGAAAGGUCGAACUUCAUCCCAGAGGCAUUUAGCAAAUGGAGAGACAUGAGGCUAAGUGUUUCCUUCCGUGGGAUUUUUCAGCCUCUUCUCUGCCCCAGAGAUUAUGAUUUAGGUCCGGGUAGAGCCUAGCUAGGCAAGCAUAUUUUGAAAACUCCAUGCAGGUAAGAAUCACGGCACUGUUGACCCUCAUCUCAUUUCCAUACCACAUACUUACUUUUUGUUGCAUUUUUUUCAGCACUAGGGAUUGAACACAGGGCCUUCACAUGGAGCUACAUCCUCAAGGCAGUUUUCAAUUUUCAUUUUGAGACAAUGUCUUGCUAAGUCAAUAAGUUGCCUGGACUGGGUUCAAACUUGGGAUCCUCCUGCCUCUGCCUCCAAGAGUGCUGGUAUCAUGGGCAUGGGCCACACACUGGCUUCUUGUGUCUUCAUGCAUUUGUUUUCCACUCUGAGGCAGAUGUGUCUUUUACUGAGGGUUUCCCCUGGGAAGUUAUCUCUCUCUUACACACACACACACACCACAUGCACGCACCACACAGACAUCGCUUGGGUCCAACGUAGUUUGACUAUAGUCUCUGUCCUGGGAAUCUGGAAGCAGAGCAAAGGGUUCCCAUUCACUCUGGCUACUGCAUGAUCUCACCAAACAUUUCUGCCUUCCAAGAUGAAGUGACUGGGACGAGCUUCAGAAGGGCACUGAGGUUCUUACAGCAGAAGUGAGAAGCAGGUGCUGAGUGCCCAGCUGUUUCCUGCAUUCCAUUUCCUAGGGAUGCCAGGGGUCUUUUCUGUGGGGAGAUGAGAUGAGGAGACAAUAAAGUCUUCUUAAUUUUGUUUGGUUGACUCCUUUCCUGUCCACUCCAUAGUUAGCUUCAUCUGGCCUAGGAGGAUUUCAUUUGGGCUUGUGGGUCUAUGGGCUUAGUAGCUACAAGUUGGAAAUAAUCAGCUGAACUCAGGAUGGGGAUGGCGCAAUCAGAGGGAUGUAGAAGUAGGAUAAAGUUUCUAGCUUGUGAGAGGGAUAUAGAUACUUAUUAAUCUCACACAUUAGAAAAAUAUAUUUGAAUUUCCAUGGGAACACUGGCACGAUGGGUUAAGCUGCAUAUCUUACCAUAAGUAGAGCAAAAUAAAGCAGACAGAAGGACCUUUACACUUUUUGAUACUAUGUGCAUGAAUUAG
ensembl:lincRNA